UGUAUCGUUGAUGAUUGGCUCCCUCUACUGAACCCUAUGUAGAAGUCUGCCAUUAUUACCCAAUUUCUGUCUGAGAUGCA
ensembl:snoRNA small nucleolar RNA SNORD100